rnacentral:rRNA from 1 species
GUGAGUAAUGCUUAGGAAUCUGCCUAUUAGUGGGGGACAACAUCUCGAAAGGGAUGCUAAUACCGCAUACGUCCUACGGGAGAAAGCAGGGGAUCACUUGUGACCUUGCGCUAAUAGAUGAGCCUAAGUCGGAUUAGCUAGUUGGUGGGGUAAAGGCCUACCAAGGCGACGAUCUGUAGCGGGUCUGAGAGGAUGAUCCGCCACACUGGGACUGAGACACGGCCCAGACUCCUACGGGAGGCAGCAGUGGGGAAUAUUGGACAAUGGGGGGAACCCUGAUCCAGCCAUGCCGCGUGUGUGAAGAAGGCCUUAUGGUUGUAAAGCACUUUAAGCGAGGAGGAGGCUCUUUUGGUUAAUACCCAAGAUGAGUGGACGUUACUCGCAGAAUAAGCACCGGCUAACUCUGUGCCAGCAGCCGCGGUAAUACAGAGGGUGCAAGCGUUAAUCGGAUUUACUGGGCGUAAAGCGCGCGUAGGCGGCCAAUUAAGUCAAAUGUGAAAUCCCCGAGCUUAACUUGGGAAUUGCAUUCGAUACUGGUUGGCUAGAGUGUGGGAGAGGAUGGUAGAAUUCCAGGUGUAGCGGUGAAAUGCGUAGAGAUCUGGAGGAAUACCGAUGGCGAAGGCAGCCAUCUGGCCUAACACUGACGCUGAGGUGCGAAAGCAUGGGGAGCAAACAGGAUUAGAUACCCUGGUAGUCCAUGCCGUAAACGAUGUCUACUAGCCGUUGGGGCCUUUGAGGCUUUAGUGGCGCAGCUAACGCGAUAAGUAGACCGCCUGGGGAGUACGGUCGCAAGACUAAAACUCAAAUGAAUUGACGGGGGCCCGCACAAGCGGUGGAGCAUGUGGUUUAAUUCGAUGCAACGCGAAGAACCUUACCUGGCCUUGACAUAGUAGAAACUUUCCAGAGAUGGAUUGGUGCCUUCGGGAAUCUACAUACAGGUGCUGCAUGGCUGUCGUCAGCUCGUGUCGUGAGAUGUUGGGUUAAGUCCCGCAACGAGCGCAACCCUUUUCCUUACUUGCCAGCAUUUCGGAUGGGAACUUUAAGGAUACUGCCAGUGACAAACUGGAGGAAGGCGGGGACGACGUCAAGUCAUCAUGGCCCUUACGGCCAGGGCUACACACGUGCUACAAUGGUCGGUACAAAGGGUUGCUACCUAGCGAUAGGAUGCUAAUCUCAAAAAGCCGAUCGUAGUC